UGGAGAGUUUGAUCCUGGCUCAGGAUGAACGCUAGCGGGAGGCCUAACACAUGCAAGCCGAGCGGUAGAGAUCUUUCGGGAUCUUGAGAGCGGCGUACGGGUGCGGAACACGUGUGCAACCUGCCUUUAUCUGGGGGAUAGCCUUUCGAAAGGAAGAUUAAUACCCCAUAAUAUUUUGAAUGGCAUCAUUUAAAAUUGAAAACUCCGGUGGAUAGAGAUGGGCACGCGCAAGAUUAGAUAGUUGGUGAGGUAACGGCUCACCAAGUCGAUGAUCUUUAGGGGGCCUGAGAGGGUGAUCCCCCACACUGGUACUGAGACACGGACCAGACUCCUACGGGAGGCAGCAGUGAGGAAUAUUGGACAAUGGGUUAGCGCCUGAUCCAGCCAUCCCGCGUGAAGGACGACGGCCCUAUGGGUUGUAAACUUCUUUUGUACAGGGAUAAACCUAUCUACGUGUAGAUAGCUGAAGGUACUGUACGAAUAAGCACCGGCUAACUCCGUGCCAGCAGCCGCGGUA
rnacentral:rRNA from 2 species